AUAGUCAAAAAUAAGGAGGAGAUUACACUAAAAAAUCAAUUUGUCUGCAAGGAUAACGCCAUAAAAUCUGGUUGUGAACAUCAUUACGCCGAGUAUAAGAACAAGACGGAUUUUUGUGUGGGUGCCAUACCAAAUUGGAUAUAUAAAUAGCAACCUAGUGAAGUAUAUUGUACGAGAGAAACAGAGGAUAUACAUACAAAAUGCACAGAAAUUUCGCAAUUUUCUUGGCCAUUUUCUUAAUCGUGGCUUUCGUCGCGGUUUCUGUGUCUGCCGAAUCAGCGAUCUGCACCUUGAACGCGGCUGCUUGUGCUGCCGGAUGCAAAACUGGUGGAAUGGGGGGUGGAGUUUGCAAAUCUGAAAACGGCUGUAAUCGAUGCGUUUGUUCAUAAAUUAUUUUGUGAGAAUUAUUAAAAUACGGGUAACGGUUUGUUUUCGUCUCGGAAUUGAAUAAUUUAUGCAAAUUUGGUCCAACAAAGUUCUAUAAUAUUGAAUUAAUGGAAAAUUUAAUAAAAUGCUAUUGAAUUAAGAAAUUGCUGUCGUGUUGAAUUAUUAAUUCAAGCCGUAGGUGUGGAUUUUGAUGGAUUAUAAUUUUGGGAGAGUGAAAAGGGAGGAAGUGAAGAGUGAGAAAGUGAGACGGAUGAUGAAAGGUGUGGAGAAAGCAAAGUGAAAGGUGGAGGAUGGAUGUGGCAUGGGAUGUGCGGGUAUAUUUUGCAGCCUGGCAGCAGAAGGGGCAGCAGGUGGCUUGGUGUGCCUCCGGUGAAUUAAUAGCCGAAUUAAUUUUGGGGAAUAUUGGACAAGAGAGAAAAGUCAGAGCGGAAAUGCGUUGAAAAGUUGGUGGCUGGAUUAGUAAUUUCGUAUUAGCAGACAAGAGCACAAAUUCCGAAUUUCAGGCAAAAGUUUGGCUAAAUUUUUCCAGCGACACGUCUGCCAUCUCGUACUGGAGAAUGAAAUGAAUUCGAAACUUGGAGAAAGCAACAAGUGGUUGGGAAGAGACGGAGGAGAAAUUCGACUUUCAUACGAUUGUGAAAGCAUAUUUUAAUAAAUAAUUUAUGUAAUGUUGCUUCAUCCUCAGAUUUGUAAUUAUUAGUGCUCAAUUGUUUCACAAUUUGGUAUGUCAGUCUAAUAUUAACUAGAUACAUAAUAAGAAUAUAUUGACUGUGGAGUAUGCAUAAA